AUUGAACGCUGGCGGCAGGCCUAACACAUGCAAGUCGAACGAGUGGCGGACGGGUGAGUAAUGUCUGGGAAACUGCCUGAUGGAGGGGGAUAACUACUGGAAACGGUAGCUAAUACCGCAUACCAUCGGAUGUGCCCAGGUGGGAUUAGCUAGUAGGUGGGGUAACGGCUCACCUAGGCGACGCUCCCUAGCUGGUCUGAGAGGGUGACCAGCCACACUGGAACUGAGACACGGUCCAGACUCCUACGGGAGGCAGCAGUGGGGAAUAUUGCGCAAUGGGCGAAAGCCUGAUGCAGCCAUGCCGCGUGUAUGAAGAAGGCCUUCGGGUUGUAAAGUACUUUCGGCGGGGAGGCGUUACCCACAGAAAAAGCACCGGCUAACUCCGUGCCAGCAGCCGCGGUAAUAC
rnacentral:rRNA from 1 species